rnacentral:rRNA from 1 species
UACGGAAGGCAGCAGUGGGGAAUAUUGGACAAUGGGCGCAAGCCUGAUCCAGCCAUGCCGCGUGUGUGAAGAAGGCCUUCGGGUUGUAAAGCACUUUUGUCCGGAAAGAAAGCUUAGGGUUAAUAACCUUGAGUCAUGACGGUACCGGAAGAAUAAGCACCGGCUAACUUCGUGCCAGCAGCCGCGGUAAUACGAAGGGUGCAAGCGUUACUCGGAAUUACUGGGCGUAAAGCGUGCGUAGGUGGUUUUGUUAAGUCUGAUGUGAAAGCCCUGGGCUCAACCUGGGGAUGGCAUUGGAAACUGGCUUACUAGAGUGCGGUAGAGGGGUGUGGAAUUCCCGGUGUAGCAGUGAAAUGCGUAGAUAUCGGGAGGAACAUCUGUGGCGAAGGCGACACCCUGGGACCAGCACUGACACUGAGGCACGAAAGCGUGGGGAGCGAAACAGGGAUUAGAUACC